GUCAAGUCGAAACGGCAGCACGGACUUCGGUCUGGUGGCGAGUGGCGAACGGGUGAGUAAUACAUCGGAACGUGCCCGGACGUGGGGGAUAACUACUCGAAAGAGUGGCUAAUACCGCAUACGAUCCAAGGAUGAAAGCGGGGGAUCGCAAGACCUCGCGCGUUUGGAGCGGCCGAUGGCAGAUUAGGUAGUUGGUGAGGUAAAGGCUUACCAAGCCUGCGAUCUGUAGCUGGUCUGAGAGGAUGAUCAGCCACACUGGGACUGAGACACGGCCCAGACUCCUACGGGAGGCAGCAGUGGGGAAUUUUGGACAAUGGGCGAAAGCCUGAUCCAGCCAUUCCGCGUGCAGGAUGAAGGCCCUCGGGUUGUAAACUGCUUUUGUACGGAACGAAAAGGCUCUUGCUAAUACCAGGAGUCCAUGACGGUACCGUAAGAAUAAGCACCGGCUAACUACGUGCCAGCAGCCGCGGUAAUACGUAGGGUGCAAGCGUUAAUCGGAAUUACUGGGCGUAAAGCGUGCGCAGGCGGUUUUGUAAGACAGAGGUGAAAUCCCCGGGCUCAACCUGGGAACUGCCUUUGUGACUGCAAGGCUGGAGUGCGGCAGAGGGGGAUGGAAUUCCGCGUGUAGCAGAGAAAUGCGUAGAUAUGCGGAGGAACACCGAUGGCGAAGGCAAUCCCCUGGGGCCUGCACUGACGCUCAUGCACGAAAGCGUGGGGGAGCAAACAGGAUUAGAUACCCCUGGGUAGUCCCACGCCCCUAAACGAUGUCAACUGGUUGUUGGGAAUUUACUUUCUCAGUAACGAAGCUAACGCGUGAAGUUUGACCGSCCUGGGGGAGUACGGCCCGCAAG
rnacentral:rRNA from 1 species